rnacentral:rRNA from 1 species
GAUCCUGGCUCAGGAUGAACGCUGGCGGCGCGCUUAACACAUGCAAGUCGAACGGUUAAAGCACCUCCGGGUGUGCAUAAAGUGGCGAACGGCUGAGUAACACGUGGGCAACCUGCCCCCCGCACCGGGAUAGCCUCGGGAAACCGUGGGUAAUACCGGAUACUCCGCCACCCCCGCAUGGGGGAGGCGGGAAAGCGUACACGGCGGGGGAUGGGCCCGCGGCCUGUUAGCUCGUUGGCGGGGUAACGGCCCACCAAGGCGAUUAUGGGUAGCCGGGUUGAGAGACCGACCGGCCAGAUUGGGACUGAGACACGGCCCAGACUCCUACGGGAGGCAGCAGUGGGGAAUCUUGCACAAUGGGCGAAAGCCUGAUGCAGCGACGCCGCGUGCGGGAUGAAGGCCCUCGGGUUGUAAACCGCUUUCAGCAGGGACGAGGCGCAAGUGACGGUACCUGCAGAAGAAGCCCCGGCUAACUACGUGCCAGCAGCUGC